rnacentral:rRNA from 1 species
GACGAACGCUGGCGGCGUGCCUAAUACAUGCAAGUUGAGCGAUGAAGCUUGGUGCUUGCACCAAUUUGAAGAGCAGCGAACGGGUGAGUAACGCGUGGGGAAUCUGCCUUUGAGCGGGGGACAACAUUUGGAAACGAAUGCUAAUACCGCAUAACAACUUUAAACAUAAGUUUUAAGUUUGAAAGAUGCAAUUGCAUCACUCAAAGAUGAUCCCGCGUUGUAUUAGCUAGUUGGUGAGGUAAAGGCUCACCAAGGCGAUGAUACAUAGCCGACCUGAGAGGGUGAUCGGCCACAUUGGGACUGAGACACGGCCCAAACUCCUACGGGAGGCAGCAGGAGGGAAUCUUCGGCAAUGGACGAAAGUCUGACCGAGCAACGCCGCGUGAGGGAAGAAGGUUUUCGGAUCGUAAAACUCUGUUGGUAGAGAAGAACGUUGGUGAGAGUGGAAAGCUCAUCAAGUGACGGUAACUACCCAGAAAGGGACGGCUAACUACGUG